AUGCACGGAGCACUUGAGAGAAUUUGCUUGCAAGAGAUCAGUGGUGGUGGAGGAAGGGCUGAAGUCAGUGAAGGAGCGGGAGUCAAGACAGCAGUGGAGAGGGUCUAUGUUCAAAGUCACCUGCCUCGUCAAGUGUGGUGUGGGGGUAGGCGUGCAAACGGGACGACAGGAACACCAUUUGUGGGAGAUGGAGACCCUGCGCUCACUCGCAUCCUAGCCUUCUCUCUUAAUUUUAUUUCGCAGCUUUCGGAAAAUCCUCAAAAGGACCGAAACUAUGUAUUACCUCCGCCCCGAAUUACUUGUCUUAAAUUCUUCUAG
rnacentral:rRNA from 1 species